UUCCAUUUACAACCUAAAAUAGCUUGUCUGCCCAACAAAUUUCUUCCAUUGUUGUCCUAACUAAGAUUUUCUAGCGAGCAUAACAAAGAUUAUCAACUUUUGAGUAGAUUUUUUGAGUCGAGUUGGGAACCGGUGGGAAACCCCGUAGGUGACUGGCACACGUCGUGGUCUGAAUAAGUUUGAACUAGACCAAACGAGUCUGAGCAGACUGUGUGAUAGUGGUUUGACGAUGUGUUCUGAACUGAAAACCUGCUAAGAAACUUUGAACAAACGUGGCCAAAGUUGGAUGAAAAUUAAAAUUUUUCGACCAUUACGGAUUUUACCUGGUCUGAAGUUGGAGUGUAUUAUUUGACCAUUUUUUGGACAGGUGCGGGAGCUGCCGGCCAUUUGCCCUAGCAGGCGGAGAGAGGUCGUGGAGUGUCAGCCUAUGGUAUCUGAGGUCCAGGAGAGAUGACCUGCGCUGUUUUCCUCUGAGGAGAUAUCUGAAAAUUUCAUCGGAUCACAAGCAAAGACCUCCUGGGGACCUUCAAUGCAUCCCUUGACAAAGUUGUGCCUGGACUGCUGAAACUGUACUGGUCUAAGAAGGGAGCUCUUGGUGAGGAGAUGGAAGACCUCCUGGAUAAACUUGAUGAACAGACAUCCAACACUGUGUCCAACGGGCACUGAGAGGCCUGCCCAUUUUCCUCAAGAGAAGAUGCAACAGAGGUUUUCCUGAAGUGCUUAG